CAGAUGAACCACAACGUGUGCAGGUCACAACAGGUCACCACAUGCGGGUCGGAGGUCACACAGCCACCGUCCACAACCUGACCCCCAAGAGUGGAUACCAGCUGUCUGGAGUGGACACAGAAGUGGAUUCCUUACAGCAUCGGGACUCCCGUCAAGAUCUCGGUCACCCUCGGAGUCUCGUCACUGGCAACUUCCCGAGGAGCUGCGUCGGCGCGUCACACUCCACCUCCAAGCUAACCCAGGACUGUCCCAGGCUGAGCUGCAUGACAUAACCUAUACUAAGAUCGAACCCGCCUGCAACCUCAAGAUCAAGUACGGGUCACCCUAGCCUAGGAGACAGAGUAGCACUCGCCGAUCUAAGAGGCCUCAGCAUCACCAGACCUUGGGAGCAGCAGCAGCCCAGUGCCAACACCAGGCCACAAGACCCCAGGCUGCCCAGCCCACCGCCAGUGCCGGGGAUCUUCAGACCCGUCUCCAGCCUUAGGGAAUGGAGGGCGGAGGGCUGCAGUGGCGGUGGCGGCUAUAGUAAUGUGUCAGCAGUAUUUUUUUUCUGCCUCUUGGUGUGGUAGUCUUUCUUGGUGGUGAGUCCCAUCAGCCAGCGUCAGCCCUCUAUAGUGCAGGGAAAUGUUUAUAGUGGCGCCACCUUGCCUGGCUCACCUCUGAUCCCCUCUUUUAGAGAGAGAAUCUAGAGUCUGGGUUGACAGGCGUGCACCAGGACAGCAUGUGGGUAGUGUUGGGCCAC